UGGUUUGCCUUUGAAAUGUUUUUUCGCCUAAGGAUAGAUCUGCGGCUGAUUAGGUCGUUGGUGGGGUAAUGGCCCACCAAGCCGAUGAUCGGUACGGGUUGUGAGAGCAAGAGCCCGGAGAUGGAACCUGAGACAAGGUUCCAGACCCUACGGGGUGCAGCAGGCGCGAAACCUUCGCAAUGUACGCAAGUGCGACGAGGGGAUCCCAAGUGUCAUUCUUAACGGGAUGGCUUUUCAUUAGUGUAAAAAGCUUUUAGAAUAAGAGCUGGGCAAGACCGGUGCCAGCCGCCGCGGUAACACCGGCAGCUCGAGUGGUAGCUGUUUUUAUUGGGCCUAAAGCGUUCGUAGCCGG
rnacentral:rRNA from 1 species